CUACGGGCUGCUGCAGUGAGGAAUAUUGCACAAUGGGGGGAACCCUGAUGCAGCAACGCCGCGUGGAGGAUGACGCAUUUCGGUGUGUAAACUCCUUUUAUAUGUCAAGAAAAUGACGGUAGCAUAUGAAUAAGCACCGGCUAACUCCGUGCCAGCAGCCGCGGUAAUACGGAGGGUGCAAGCGUUACUCGGAAUCACUGGGCGUAAAGGACGCGUAGGCGGGUUGGAAAGUCAGGUGUGAAAUCCUACAGCUUAACUGUAGAACUGCACUUGAAACUUCUAAUCUAGAGUAUGGGAGGGGGAGAUGGAAUUCGUGGUUUAGGGGUAAAAUCCGUAGAUAUCACUAGGAAUACCUAAAGCGAAGGCGAUCUCCUGGAACAUUACUGACGCUAAGGCGUGAAAGCGUGGGGAGCAAACAGGAUUAGAUACCCCGGUAGUC
rnacentral:rRNA from 1 species